rnacentral:rRNA from 1 species
CCUACGGGCGGCAGCAGUGGGGAAUAUUGGACAAUGGGGGCAACCCUGAUCCAGCCAUGCCGCGUGUGUGAAGAAGGCCCUCGGGUUGCAAAGCACUUUCAGUGAGGAAGAACGCCUGGUGGUUAAUACCCAUCAGGAAAGACAUCACUCACAGAAGAAGCACCGGCUAACUCCGUGCCAGCAGCCGCGGUAAUACGGAGGGUGCGAGCGUUAAUCGGAAUUACUGGGCGUAAAGCGCGCGUAGGUGGCUUGAUAAGCCGGUUGUGAAAGCCCCGGGCUCAACCUGGGAACGGCAUCCGGAACUGUCAAGCUAGAGUGCAGGAGAGGAAGGUAGAAUUCCCGGUGUAGCGGUGAAAUGUGUAGAGAUCGGGAGGAAUACCAGUGGCGAAGGCGGCCUUCUGGACUGACACUGACACUGAGGUGCGAAAGCGUGGGUAGCAAACAGGAUUAGAUACCCCAGUAGUC